UGGGGAAUAUUGCACAAUGGGGGAAACCCUGAUGCAGCAACGCCGCGUGAGUGAUGACGUACUUCGGUAUGUAAAGCUCUAUCAGCAGGGAAGAACAUGACAGUACCUGACUAAGAAGCCCCGGCUAACUACGUGCCAGCAGCCGCGGUAAUACGUAGGGGGCAAGCGUUAUCCGGAUUUACUGGGUGUAAAGGGAGCGUAGACGGUUAUGCCAGUCAGAAGUGAAAGCCCGUGGCUCAACUGCGGGACGGCUUUUGAAACUGUGUAACUGGAGUGCAGGAGGGGUAAGCGGAAUUCCUAGUGUAGCGGUGAAAUGCGUAGAUAUUAGGAGGAACACCGGCGGCGAAGGCGGCUUACUGGACUGUAACUGACGUUGAGGCUCGAAAGCGUGGGGAGCAAACAGG
rnacentral:rRNA from 1 species